rnacentral:rRNA from 1 species
GACGAACGCUGGCGGCGCGCCUAACACAUGCAAGUCGAACGGAGUCAAGAGGAGCUUGCUUUUCUUGACUUAGUGGCGAACGGGUGAGUAACGCGUGAGUAACCUGCCCUGGAGUGGGGGACAACAGUUGGAAACGACUGCUAAUACCGCAUAAGCCCACGGAUCUGCAUGGAUCUGCGGGAAAAGGAUUUAUUCGCUCUAGGAUGGACUCGCGUCCAAUUAGCUAGUUGGUGAGGUAACGGCCCACCAAGGCGACGAUUGGUAGCCGGACUGAGAGGUUGAACGGCCACAUUGGGACUGAGACACUGCCCAGACUCCUACGGGAGGCAGCAGUGGGGGAUAUUGCACAAUGGGGGAAACCCUGAUGCAGCGACGCCGCGUGGAGGAAGAAGGUUUUCGGAUUGUAAACUCCUGUCGUUAGGGACGAUAAUGACGGUACCUAACAAGAAAGCACCAGCUAACUACGUG